rnacentral:piRNA from 1 species
UNCGCUUAAUUGAGAAUGGGCCAAGGCAAU